rnacentral:rRNA from 1 species
GACGAACGCUGGCGGCGUGCCUAAUACAUGCAAGUAGGACGCAGUUGCGAACGGGUGAGUAACGCGUAGGUAACUGCCUAUUAGAGGGGGAUAACUAUUGGAAACGAUAGCUAAUACCGCAUACUAGUAGAUGGACCUGCGUUGUAUUAGCUAGUAGGUAGGGUAAUGGCCUACCUAGGCGACGAUACAUAGCCGAUCUGAGAGGGUGAUCGGCCAAACUGGGACCGAGACCCGGCCCAGACUCCUUCGGGAGGGAGCAGGAGGGAAUCUUCGGCAAUUGGGGGAACCCUGACCGAACAACGCCGGGGGAGUGAAGAAGGUUUUCUGAUCGUAAAGCUCUGUUGUUAAGGAAGCGGUACUUAACCAGAAAGGGACGGCUAACUACGUGCCAGCCGCCGCGGUAAUAC